UCACUGUUAAACUGAAUGCAGUAUAGUGCAGUGGAUGAAUCAUGUCAUGAUGUAUUUUUGUUUUGUUUUGUCUGUUUGUUUUGUCAACGUAUAUGUCACCAUUAUGUGUACCUUUUAAUUUACAGUCAAUGAGUGCUGUAUGACUGCAGAUGUCUGUAUGUU